UACGUAGGGGACAAGCGUUAUCCGGAUUUACUGGGUGUAAAGGGAGCGUAGGCGGCAAAGCAAGUCAGAAGUGAAAGCCCGCGGCUCAACUGCGGGACUGCUUUUGAAACUGUUUAGCUAGAGUACUGGAGGGGCAAGCGGAAUUCCUGGUGUAGCGGUGAAAUGCGUAGAUAUCAGGAAGAACACCGGAGGCGAAGGCGGCUUGCUGGACAGAUACUGACGCUGAGGCUCGAAGGCGUGGGGAG
rnacentral:rRNA from 1 species